rnacentral:rRNA from 1 species
UACGGAAGGCAGCAGUGGGGAAUAUUGCACAAUGGGCGCAAGCCUGAUGCAGCCAUGCCGCGUGUAUGAAAAAGGCCUUCGGGUUGUAAAGUACUUUCAGUCGUGAGGAAGGUGUUAAGGUUAAUAACCUUAGCAAUUGACGUUAGCGACAGAAGAAGCACCGGCUAACUCCGUGCCAGCAGCCGCGGUAAUACGGAGGGUGCGAGCGUUAAUCGGAAUUACUGGGCGUAAAGGGCACGCAGGCGGUUAAUUAAGUUGGAUGUGAAAUCCCCGGGCUUAACCUGGGAAUGGCAUUCAAGACUGGUUAGCUAGAGUCUUGUAGAGGGGGUAGAAUUCCAUGUGUAGCGGUGAAAUGCGUAGAGAUGUGGAGGAAUACCGGUGGCGAAAGGCGGCCCCUGGACAAAGACUGACGCUCAUGUGCGAAAGCGUGGGGAGCAAAC